UGAUUGUGAUAAAGACAAUUUCGGAGCAUACCUUUAAAUCUCUCCUAGGUUUGAUAGAGAUUUUUUUCAUCUUUUUGUCUGAAACUUAAAAUCUCACUCCUUAAUCG
rfam:Capsicum annuum cultivar Zunla-1 chromosome 5, whole genome shotgun sequence